GGUUGUGUAGUGUAGUGGUUAUCACUUUGGAUUUUGAUUAAAAAGUCAAAACUUCCAAUAACCUGGGUUCGAGUCCCAGCACGACCU